rnacentral:rRNA from 1 species
CCUACGGGGGGCAGCAGUGAGGAAUAUUGGUCAAUGGGCGGGAGCCUGAACCAGCCAAGUCGCGUGAAGGAAGAAGGUACUUAGUAUUGUAAACUUCUUUUGUCGGGGAACAAAGGCGGAGGCGCGUCUCCGGAUGAGUGUACCCGACGACAAAGCAUCGGCUAACACCGUGCCAGCAGCGGCGGUAGUACGGGGGAUUCGAGCGUUAUCUGGAUUUGUUGGGGUUAAUGGGUGCGCAGGGGGGAGAUCAAGUGCGCGAGAAACGGUCGGGGCUCAACCCCGGCCGGCCGUGGAAACGGGUUGGCUAGAGUUGGAGAGAGGUGUGCGGAAUUCGUGGUGUAGCGGUGAAAUGCAUAGAUAUCACGAAGAACUCCGAUUGCGAAGGCAGCAGACCGGACCCAUACUGACGCUGAGGCACGAAAGCGUGGGGAGCGAACAGGAUUAGAUACCCGUGUAGUC